CGCACGCAGGGUUUGCGGUGGCUGCAGAGUGGGAACCAGAGGACAAUGUGGGAAGUCGGGCAGUUGUAUGAGCACGCAGGGGGCAGGCGCAGAAACAGGAAGACCGGGAUUACAGUCCGCUUUAUAACUCUUUUGAAGUCGCCGGACCCAACUCGGGAAGCCUGCAGGCUGCGAGCGCGCUGAUCAAAGGUCCCUCUGCGGGCUCAAAUUAACACGGAACUGGCGAGCCGCGCAGCACCUGCCCGCAAAGAGCAGCGUGGCCGCAAAUCAGCUCAUCUUGUCCGGAGGUCGUUUGAUUCCAGCACAGUGCACACAGCGUGAAUCUGCAGAAUCCGCUGCAGAAUUACAGCCAGCUACCGCAGAGAAGCUGAACCCUUGGUAGUCGGCUUCCUCCCCCUAUACAGUAGUGACGUUUAAACUACCGUGUUGGGAAUUGAGCCUUGGACCUCUGCAAGCACGGAAUCUCUGAGCCCCAGCUCUUACUCUGACAUUUCACUGCUAUCCUGGAAUUACAGAAGAUACUAGAAAAAAAAAAAUCUACAGUUAAAAGUUAUUUUGAAAUAUUUAAAGGCUUUACAAAAAUUGUGAAGAAAAAAAAUUGUAUUUUUCUAUGGCAUCUUGAUCUAUGAUAUAAAUUGUGA